rnacentral:rRNA from 1 species
UACGUAGGGGGCUAGCGUUGUCCGGAAUCAUUGGGCGUAAAGAGCGUGUAGGCGGCCCGGUAAGUCCGCUGUGAAAGUCGGGGGCUCAACCCUCGAAUGCCGGUGGAUACUGUCGGGCUAGAGUGCGGAAGAGGCGAGUGGAAUUCCGUGGUGUAGCGGUGAAAUGCGCAGAUAUCAGGAGGAACACCGAUUGCGAAGGCAGCUCGCUGGGACGUUACUGACGCUGAGACGCGAAAGCGUGGGGAGCAAACAGG